ACGAACGCUGGCGGCGUGCUUAACCCAUGCCAGUCGAACGCUGAAGCUCAGCUUGCUGGGUGGAUGAGUGGCGAACGGGUGAGUAACACGUGAGUAACCUGCCCUCUUCUUUGGGAUAACGCCCGGAAACGGGUGCUAAUACUGGAUAUUCACUGAUUCUCGCAUGGGGGUUGGUGGAAAGGUUUUUUCUGGUGGGGGAUGGGCUCGCGGCCUAUCAGCUUGUUGGUGGGGUGAUGGCCUACCAAGGCUUUGACGGGUAGCCGGCCUGAGAGGGUGACCGGUCACAUUGGGACUGAGAUACGGCCCAGACUCCUACGGGAGGCAGCAGUGGGGAAUAUUGCACAAUGGGCGAAAGCCUGAUGCAGCGACGCCGCGUGAGGGAUGGAGGCCUUCGGGGUGUAAACCUCUUUCGCUCAUGGUCAAGCCGCAGCUUUGGGUUGUGGUGAGGGUAGUGGGUAAAGAAGCGCCGGCUAACUACGUG
rnacentral:rRNA from 1 species